rnacentral:rRNA from 1 species
AUUGAACGCUGGCGGCAGGCUUAACACAUGCAAGUCGAGCGAGCGGCGGACGGGUGAGUAAUGUCUGGGAAACUGCCUGAUGGCGGGGGAUAACUACUGGAAACGGUAGCUAAUACCGCAUACUAUCAGAUGUGCCCAGAUGGGAUUAGCUAGUAGGUGGGGUAAUGGCUCACCAAGGCCACGAUCCCUAGCUGGUGUGAGAGGAUGACCAGCCACACGGGGACUGAGACACGGUCCAGACUCCUAAGGGAGGCAGCAGUGGGGAAUAUUGGACAAUGGGGGCAAGCCUGAUGCAGCCAUGCCGCGUGUAUGAAGAAGGCCUUCGGGUUGUAAAGCACUUUCAGCGAGGAGGCGUUACUCGCAGAAGAAGCACCGGCUAACUCCGUGCCAGCAGCCGCGGUAAUAC